UAAACUGGUGAUCUUUAUCUCUCUCUCUACCCUCUCUCUUCUCUCUCUCUACACUCUCUCUUCUCUCCCAUCACCAACUACCACCACCACCAACCGUCACAACCCGCACCGCCCUACCAUAGAGCAACCACCACAACCAUUCCUGUCGUCACUCAUACUUCCAUCUCUCUCCACCACCCGACCAUCGCCACCGCCACCAUCACCACCACCUAACCACCACCGUCGGUCUUCAUCUCUUACACCCCCCACACAACAGCCACCAUUGAAUCGGAGCUCAAACCCCAACCAUCUCCUCCGUAACCACCCCCACCAUAGAUCAAAUCAUGGAUCUGAGCAAAAACCACUAACAUUUCUCAGAUCUGGUUGAUAAUCGGGUUUAAUGACGAAUCCAUAAAACCUAAUCUGGUCAGAAAGCUUCGAACAAAGAUUGAGCGGCGGCAAUCCGUCACAGACAGCUAGGAUGGCGGUGGAGUCAGUCAGAUGUGGGAAGAUGUGGUGGUGGUGUUGGUCGAGUGUUGGUGACUGGUGGCAGUGUUGAUGGAGGUGUUGGUUGGUUGCUACUUGUGGUGAUGGUGGUAAAGUUAUAUGUGAGAAAAUUCUUUUAGUACUUCAAUAUAAACCAAUAAUCAUGAUGAUACCAAUACACACCGUAAUCCUUUUUGCAUUUGAUCAGUUGGGGUUUAAAUUUCAACUAAUGGAGUAUUUAAUUGGAUAAAAUUGAAAACAUUGAAUUAUCUAAUUAAAUGUUAUGAAUAUAGAUUAUUUAAUGGAAAUAAAGAAGAAAUAAUUGCAACCGAUGAUCGGAAUUGGUGACUUGUGGCAGUGUUGGUAGAGGUGUUGGUCGGCUGCUGCUGCUGGUGAUUGUGGUAAAGAGUGAGAGAGAUAUAGAGCUGGUACUGGUAGAAAGUGAUAUAGGAGAGAGAGGGGAGGAGAUGAGGGUGAGAUGAGAGAGAUUAAUAGAUGUUUUUAAUAAAAAGACAA
rnacentral:lncRNA from 1 species